GACAGAGGGUGCAAACGUUGCUCGGAAUUACUGGGCGUAAAGCGCGUGUAGGCGGUUUCGCAAGUCAGGUGUGAAAGCCUGGGGCUCAACCCCAGAAGUGCACUUGAUACUACGGAGCUGGAGUCUUGAAGAGGAGAGCGGAAAUUCCCGGUGUAGAGGUGAAAAUUCGUAGAUAUCGGGAGGAACACCAGUGGCGAAGGCGGCUCUCUGGGCAAGUACUGACGCUGAGACGCGAAAAGCGUGGGUAGCAAACAGGA
rnacentral:rRNA from 1 species